ACUGUUUCCAUUGUUUCCCCAUCUAUUUGCCAUGAAGUAAUGAGACCAGAUGCCAAGCUGAGAUGUAUAUCACCAAACUACAGUAAGACACCACUUUGUAUUGAGAUGUCUACAACAAAACCAACAAUAACAAGUGUCAGCAAGGAGACGGACAACUGGAACCCUCCCUCAUGGUUGCUGCGACUGUAAAAGGGUGCAGCCACUUUGGGAAACAGUCUGGCAUUUCCUCAGCUGGUUACUGGAGGAGAUAGAAGAUGGUACGGAAAAAUCUAAUGAGCUUUUUAGGUAACCCAAUAUAUGUUUACUGAAUCACUUUGCUGUACAGCAGUAAUUCACACAACAUUGUAAAUCAACUAUACUCCAGUUAAAAAAAAGAAAAAAGUAAUAAUAAAAAGUGUAUCACUAGCAGUAUUCCUUGCUAUCACUCUCUUGA